AACGAACGCUGGCGGCAUGCCUAACACAAGCAAGUCGAACGAGACCUUCGGGUCUAGUGGCGCACGGGUGCGUAACGCGUGGGAAUCUGCCCUUCGGUUCGGAACAACAGUUAGAAAUGACUGCUAAUACCGGAUAAUGACGUAAGUCCAAAGAUUUAUCGCCGAAGGAUGAGCCCGCGUAAGAUUAGGUAGUUGGUGGGGUAAUGGCCUACCAAGCCGACGAUCUUUAGCUGGUCUGAGAGGAUGAUCAGCCACACUGGGACUGAGACACGGCCCAGACUCCUACGGGAGGCAGCAGUGGGGAAUAUUGGACAAUGGGCGAAAGACCUGAUCCAGCAAUGCCGCGUGAGUGAUGAAGGCCUUAGGUUGUAAGACUCUUUUACCUAGGGAGUGAUAAAUGACAGUACCUCGGAGAAUAAGACUCCGGCUAACUCCGU
rnacentral:rRNA from 1 species